CCUACGGGAGGCAGCAGUGGGGAAUAUUGCACAAUGGGGGAAACCCUGAUGCAGCGACGCCACGUGAGUGAAGAAGUAUUGCGGUAUGAAAAGCGCUAGCAGCAGGGAAGAAGAAAGACGGUACCUGACUAAGAAGCACCGGCUAACGACGUGCCAGCAGCCGCGGUAAGACGUAGGGGGCGAGCGUUAUCCGGAUCCACUGGGUGGAAAGGGAGCGUAGACGGCCAUGCAAGCCAGGGGUGAAAGCCCGGGGCCCAACCCCGGGACUGCCCUUGGAACUGCAUGGCUGGAGUGCGGGAGGGGCAGGCGGAAUUCCUGGUGUAGCGGUGAAAUGCGUAGAUAUCAGGAGGAACCCCGGCGGCGAAGGCGGCCUGCUGGACCGCGACUGACGUUGAGGCUCGAAAGCGUGGGGAGCGAACAGGAUUAGAUACCCGAGUAGUC
rnacentral:rRNA from 1 species